rnacentral:piRNA from 1 species
GAGCCAAUGAACACAUAUGGUGUAUGGA